GCCGCGGCGCCGGGAAGGGUCUGUCCCGUCCUCGCGCGCCCCAGCUGCGCACCCCGGGGCGUCUGACGCACCCCUCUCCCCGGCCCCAGCGGUGGCUGUGCCCGUGAUUCCUGCUUCCUGCGGUUAGCAGUAUCAUCCCAAGUAACUUUUGGCGCCUCCGUGAGCCUCCCGAGCGCGGGCGCGGGGUGCGCCCUCUAGGCGGGCGGGUCCGGGCCCGGCGCCCCGAUGCUGCACCCCUGCGCCCGAGCGCCCGUGCCCAACUCUCAGGCAAGGGGGACGGGGGACUUGCUAGCGCCAUCGGAAGCCAGGCCUGAAAAAAUACGAAUUAGGAGUCUUCACUGCUCAGGGAGGAGAAGGAGCAGGAAAGGCCUGGGUCACAGGCAGGGGCUACCACUGACUCCUCCAGGACCAAUAUCAACUAGGGUUUGCAGUGGACUGGAAGGGGCUAUCCCGGGGGAAGGGCCCUGCCCCCCUGCACGGGCUGUCCUGGUAAGAAAUACAUGUGUGGCCAACCCCUUUCCCUAUUUGCUAUUCACCAUUUACUUGAAAAGUAGAAUUCAAGAAAAGCCGAGGAAGCCCACUCCCUCGUCUCUCCUCCAAUCUAUAAACAGCUGUCCCCGCCUGGAAAUCCUGUUCUGUCCGUGCACAGGGCUGUUCAGAGCUCAGGGUAAGCUGGCAGUUCCUCCACACCACUUGAAAUGCCACCCUUCCCAGAGAGCAGAAGUCCUGAGCGCGCCAACUACUGCUCUCCUCAGCUCCCUCCAGUCCCGGCCAGCAGAUGAAGCCACGCAUCUGCUGAAGUUAAGCCUUGCCUCCCACGAGUGGCCAGCUUCUCUGAGUGUAAAAACAACUAAUGCAAAGUUGACUCUCCAGCAGAAUUUUUCUGACUUUUACCAAAGGGCAAAAUAAGGCGUACAAUU